CACGUAGGGUGCGAGCGUUGUCCGGAAUUAUUGGGCGUAAAGAGCUCGUAGGCGGUGUGUCGCGUCGGCCGUGAAAACCUGCAGCUUAACUGUGGGCUUGCGGUCGAUACGGGCAUCACUGGAGUUCGGCAGGGGAGACUGGAAUUCCUGGUGUAGCGGUGAAAUGCGCAGAUAUCAGGAGGAACACCGGUGGCGAAGGCGGAUCUCUGGGCCAUUACUGACGCUGAGGCACGAAGGCCAGGGGAGCAAACGGG
rnacentral:rRNA from 1 species